CCUUCUAACCACGCCCACUUUGUUUGUAGUGAUCACCGGGAAGGUGACCUCUCUGGCCCCUGGGCCCCGGGGCACCCUUCUCAUCGGGGUAUCCCUCAUUCGGACUUACAAGGCAGGGCGGCUAAGUAUCACGCAAGUCGGAGAGACCAUGUCCGUUCGAUUGGUGUCACAAUGCAGGAAGUGCCCAUUGCUUCGCAGAGGCGCUAACUACAUCAUCAUGGGUCAAGUGGAUGAAGAUGGCCGCGGCAGCCUGCAACCCGGCGCGUUCACAGCUCCGUACAAAGCCCCACAUCACAAAUUAUUGACAAACAUCAACAACCAGCCAUGCUAACUCGAAACAUCUGUCCCGAACACGAUGACUCAAUAAGUCCUUGUAUAAUGCAAAAGACAAAUCUACAUGAGAUAAUAAUAUCUCAGUAAAACAUAACAGUAAAUUUAUAACCCCAGUGAAGAAACACAAAUCCUGAAACAUUGUCUGUAAUUUAUAUAUGAAUGAAGGAUUAUUAUAUCACUUUUGUCA